rnacentral:misc_RNA from 1 species
GAUGAAGAACGUAGCGAAAUGCGAUAAGUAGUGUGAAUUGCAGAAUUCAGUGAAUCAUCGAAUCUUUGAACGCACAUUGCGCCCCAUGGUAUUCCGUGGGGCAUGCCUGUUCGAGCGUCAUUACAACCCUCAGGCCCCCGGGCCUGGCGUUGGGGAUCGGCGGAGCCCCCCGUGGGCACACGCCGUCCCCCAAAUACAGUGGCGGUCCCGCCGCAGCUUCCAUCGCGUAGUAGCUAACACCUCGCGACUGGAGAGCGGCGCGGCCACGCCGUAAAACACCCAACUCUUCUGAAGUUGACCUCGAAUCAGGUAGGAAUACCCGCUGAACUUAAGCAUAUCAAUAAGCGGAGGA